rnacentral:rRNA from 1 species
GCGGGUGCUAUACAUGCAAGUCGAGCGGACAGAAGGGAGCUUGCUCCCGGAUGUUAGCGGCGGACGGGUGAGUAACACGUGGGUAACCUGCCUGUAAGACUGGGAUAACUCCGGGAAACCGGAGCUAAUACCGGAUAGUUCCUUGAACCGCAUGGUUCAAGGAUGAAAGACGGUUUCGGCUGUCACUUACAGAUGGACCCGCGGCGCAUUAGCUAGUUGGUGAGGUAACGGCUCACCAAGGCGACGAUGCGUAGCCGACCUGAGAGGGUGAUCGGCCACACUGGGACUGAGACACGGCCCAGACUCCUACGGGAGGCAGCAGUAGGGAAUCUUCCGCAAUGGACGAAAGUCUGACGGAGCAACGCCGCGUGAGUGAUGAAGGUUUUCGGAUCGUAAAGCUCUGUUGUUAGGGAAGAACAAGUGCAAGAGUAACUGCUUGCACCUUGACGGUACCUAACCAGAAAGCCACGGCUAACUACGUGCCAGCAGCCGCGGUAAUACGUAGGUGGCAAGCGUUGUCCGGAAUUAUUGGGCGUAAAGGGCUCGCAGGCGGUUUCUUAAGUCUGAUGUGAAAGCCCCCGGCUCAACCGGGGAGGGUCAUUGGAAACUGGGAAACUUGAGUGCAGAAGAGGAGAGUGGAAUUCCACGUGUAGCGGUGAAAUGCGUAGAGAUGUGGAGGAACACCAGUGGCGAAGGCGACUCUCUGGUCUGUAACUGACGCUGAGGAGCGAAAGCGUGGGGAGCGAACAGGAUUAGA